UACACCUCAAAUUUUGCCAUCAUUUUACACUGCAUUGAUUCCAAUGAGUAUUGGACUGAAUUCAGUGUGUGAAUAAGACAAGAAAUGCUAUUCUUCUUAGAAAAUGAACACCUCUGAUAUAUGCUACUCAGUUUAAGGAUGGCUGGGGAGAAGCGUAUUUUGAACACCAUUAACAAAAAAAAGUUCUUUGUUUUUGGUUAUCUUUGAAGAGGUACAACCUUUUUUUUUUUUUUUUUUUUUUUUUUUUUUUUUUGAGUUUUUUUUUUGUUUUCCAAACACCAUUUUCUUUAACACACUAGUAAUUACUCUUGGAUAUUAUGUGUAUCCAUCUUUUAAUAAGAGUUGCUUUUGAAAUCAGCUCCUCCUUAGACCUAGUCUAGGAAUAAAACCAUAAUGCCAAGUUUAUGAUAUCUUAGUGUGUUGCUAUGGAAGUGAUAUUAGCAAUAUUAGAAAUCCAGCGUUGUGGGCUGUGCAACAGUGGAAUGUGAUAGAAACUGAAAGCAUUGAUGUGACAGAAGAAGCAGCUUUCAUUUCAACAGAAAUAUUUUGAUUCUUUGGAAAACCAUUGGAGAAAAUGAAGACAGUGUAUCGGAGUUAAAGGUCAAAUUGCUUCUAAGAGAGAAACAAAGCAAGCAGGGCUACGCUGUUCACUUCCAUCAGGAAUACUUCUGGAAGACUGGCAAAUGGGAAGUGGAGAUGACCACACUGUCAGCUCUGCUGUAAGAGUUACCAGGUAACACUGUGAAUUGUGUAGUGCAUGUCUGUGGAUAAUUCCUACUUCCAGAUCACAGUAUACAGCUACUGGUAGUUAUGCUUUGGAGUGCUGCAGACGCUUUGACUUUAUACAAAUCACACAGAGUAUAUCACUUAAGGGUUUAGUAUUUGCACUUGAAUGCAAAACAACCUGCAU
rnacentral:lncRNA from 1 species